rnacentral:rRNA from 1 species
GAUCAUGGCUCAGGACGAACGCUGGCGGUGUGCUUCACACAUGCAAGUCGAACGAGGUAGCAAUACCUAGUGGCGGACGGGUGAGUAACGCGUGGGAAUCUGCCUUGAGAUGGGGGAUAACGAGCCGAAAGGCUCGCUAAUACCGCAUAUGCCGAAAGGUGAAAGGAGUAAUCCGUCUUAAGAUGAGCCCGCGUCCGAUUAGCUAGUUGGUGGGGUAAAGGCCUACCAAGGGCGACGAUCGGUAGCUGGUCUGAGAGGAUGAUCAGCCACAAUGGGACUGAGACACGGCCCAUACUCCUACGGGAGGCAGCAGUGGGGAAUUUUACGCAAUGGGGAAACCCUGACGUAGCGACACCGCGUGAGCGAAGAAGCCCUUUGGGGUGUAAAGCUCUGUCAGCUGGAACGAAAAAAUGACGGUACCAGCAGAGGAAGCAUCGGCUAACUACGUG